ensembl:misc_RNA 7SK 7SK RNA
GGAUGUGAGGAUGAUCUUGUUGUGACAUCUGUCACCCCAUUGAUGGCCAGGGUUGAUUUGGCUGAUCAGGCUGGCUAGGCGGGUAUCCCCUUCCUCCCUCACUGCUCCAGUGCAUCCCUCCCGAAGCUGCAUGCUUGACUGAAGAAGACACACUUCCCCAAAUAGAGACUGACUGGUCUUCAGUCCAGGGUAUAAGAGUAGCUGCGCUCCCCUCCUAGAACCUCUAAAAAAGCUCUCAAAGGGAUAUAUGCAACCCAUGUUUAUAUCAGCUUUAUUCACAAUAACAAAAACCUGGAAACAACCA